rnacentral:tRNA from 2 species
GGGCUCGUAGCUCAGUGGCAGAGCUGGCGGCUCAUAACCGCUCGGUCGCAGGUUCGAACCCUGCCGAGCCCACCA